GUGACCGCUGGCGGCGUGCCUAACACAUGCAAGUCGAACGAUGAUAGAGAGCUUGCUCCCUUGAUUAGUGGCGCACGGGUGAGUAUACCAUAGAUAAUGUACCUCUUAGUUCGGGAUAGCCACUGGAAACGGUGAUUAAUACCGGAUACUCCUUCUUACUCUAAGGUAAGUCGGGAAAGUUUUUUCGCUAAGAGAUCAGUCUAUGUCCUAUCAGCUAGUUGGUGAGGUAAUGGCUCACCAAGGCUAUGACGGGUAUCUGGUUUGAGAGGAUGAUCAGACACACUGGAACUGAGACACGGUCCAGACUCCUACGGGAGGCAGCAGUGAGGAAUAUUGCACAAUGGAGGAAACUCUGAUGCAGCAACGCCGCGUGGAGGAUGACGCAUUUCGGUGUGUAAACUCCUUUUAUAUGUCAAGAAAAUGACGGUAGCAUAUGAAUAAGCACCGGCGAACUCCGU
rnacentral:rRNA from 1 species